rnacentral:rRNA from 1 species
GGAAGGUCCAUUAGUGAAUCAAUUUGCGGGAGGAUGUGCUGGCCUUGUUGCACGUGCACUCCAAACGCUAAUCCACUUACCCCUGUGCACCUUUGACCUUGACCAUGCCUCUAGUCGACCACAGUCGGCACCCAAAGAGCUGGUCUUGGUACUUUACACACUCGUUGUCUCAGAAUGUCUCAUGUGCUUAAUGCGCAGAAAUACAACUUUCAACAACGGAUCUCUUGGCUCUCGCAUCGAUGAAGAACGCAGCGAAUUGCGAUACGUAAUGUGAAUUGCAGAAUUCAGUGAAUCAUCGAAUCUUUGAACGCACCUUGCACCCUUUGGUAUUCCGAAGGGUAUGCCCGUUUGAGUGUCAUUGUAAUCUCACACCCAAAGUUUCUUUCAGAAAUCGAGGGAGGUGGACUUGAGGGUUGCAGCGGUGACGCUGCUCUCUUGAAAUGCAUGAGCAGACCCCAUCGUGUAGUCAGCCGGUGUGAUAAUUGUCUUCACCGCUCGUGAUCACUUCAUGAAGCUGCACGGUUGGAGCGCCUGCUACCAAUCGUCUUCGGACAACCUUGACAACUUGACCUCAAAUCGGGUAGGACUACCCGCUGAACUUAAGCAUAUCAAUAAGCGGAGGAAAAGAAACUAACAAGGAUUCCCCUAGUAACGGCGAGUGAAGAGGGAAAAGCUCAAAUUUUGAAUCUGGCGUCUUUGGCGUCCGAGUUGUAAUCUAGAGAAGUGUUUUCCGCGAUGGACCGUGCACAAGUCUCCUGGAACGGGGCGUCAUAGAGGGUGAGAAUCCCGUAUAUGGCAUGGACUCCCAUUGCUCUGUGAUACACUCUCCACGAGUCGAGUUGUUUGGGAAUGCAGCUCAAAAUGGGUGGUAAAUUCCAUCUAAAGCUAAAUAUUGGCGAGA